GACGAACGCUGGCGGCGUGCUUAACACAUGCAAGUCGAACGGAAAGGCCCUGCUUUUGUGGGGUGCUCGAGUGGCGAACGGGUGAGUAACACGUGAGUAACCUGCCCUUGACUUUGGGAUAACUUCAGGAAACUGGGGCUAAUGCCGGAUAGGAGCUCCUGCUGCAUGGUGGGGGUUGGAAAGUUUCGGCGGUUGGGGAUGGACUCGCGGCUUAUCAGCUUGUUGGUGGGGUAGUGGCUUACCAAGGCUUUGACGGGUAGCCGGCCUGAGAGGGUGACCGGCCACAUGGGGACUGAGAUACGGCCCAGACUCCUACGGGAGGCAGCAGUGGGGAAUAUUGCACAGUGGGCGGAAGCCUGAUGCAGCAACGCCGCGUGCGGGAUGACGGCCUUCGGGUUGUAAACCGCUUUCGCCUGUGACGAAGCGUGAGUGACGGUAAUGGGUAAAGAAGCACCGGCUAACUACGUG
rnacentral:rRNA from 1 species